rnacentral:rRNA from 1 species
GAUGAACGCUAGCUACAGGCUUAACACAUGCAAGUCGAGGGGAAACGAUGAGAGAGCUUGCUCUCUUAGUCGUCGACCGGCGCACGGGUGAGUAACGCGUAUCCAACCUGCCUCUGACCAAGGGAUAACCCGUCGAAAGUCGGACUAAUACCUUAUGCAGUCGUCGGAAGUCAUCUGAUGACGACGAAAGAUUUCAUCGGUGAGAGAUGGGGAUGCGUCUGAUUAGCUUGUUGGCGGGGUAACGGCCCACCAAGGCGACGAUCAGUAGGGGUUCUGAGAGGAAGGUCCCCCACAUUGGAACUGAGACACGGUCCAAACUCCUACGGGAGGCAGCAGUGAGGAAUAUUGGUCAAUGGGCGUAAGCCUGAACCAGCCAAGUAGCGUGCAGGAUGACGGCCCUAUGGGUUGUAAACUGCUUUUAUGCGGGGAUAAAGUGAGGGACGUGUCCUUCAUUGCAGGUACCGCAUGAAUAAGGACCGGCUAAUCCCGUG